rnacentral:rRNA from 1 species
CAAGUCCUCAUGCCUUACGGGCUGGGCUACACACGUGCUACAAUGGCGGUGACAAUG